UACGUAGGGUGCAAGCGUUGUCCGGAAUUAUUGGGCGUAAAGCGUGCGCAGGCGGUUUUGUAAGCCCGGUGUGAAAUCCCCGGGCUUAACCUGGGAAUGGCAUUUGGGACUGCAAGGCUUGAGUGCGGCAGAGGAGACUGGAAUUCCUGGUGUAGCAGUGAAAUGCGUAGAUAUCAGGAGGAACACCGAUGGCGAAGGCAGGUCGCUGGGCUGGCACUGACGCUCAUGCGCGAAAGCGUGGGGAGCAAACAGG
rnacentral:rRNA from 1 species